GUAGUCUACUGCGCAUGCGCCUGACUGGCACCAUAUUGCGCAUGCGCCCUGCUCGUACCCUGCUGCGAGUGUGGCAGUCUGGCACUCCAAUGUUGGCAUCCUACUGCGCAUGCUGCCGCCUGCAUCUCCUCUCCUUUAACUUCAGGAUUUGUAUUAUUCGUAGCAUUACUUUUAUGGCGACUUACUUAGAUCUGUGUGGAUUAUGGUGGCUUAUCUGGAUUACUUUAAGUGGAUUUGGUGGUUAAAGGUAUGACCAUUUUUACAGGACCUAUUAUUAUAGACGGGCAAUGCAGAACAUAAACGGCACAGCGACGCUCUGUCGUGCUCUGAAGGGCCGGGACCCCCCCCCCCCCCAACCCGGGGGCAGCGCUCUCCCUGUUCUCCUCCGAUCUGUGCAAAAACUGUGCAAAACAGUGUGCACUUAACUGCAGAAUUUUGCAAACCCCACGUGGACUUCAUGGAACCCCAGCAAAGACCAGCAAUCCCAUACAUUCUUCAGCAAUCCAAGGAGGAACUUCAGCAAUGCAGGGCAAAGACUGGUGAAUCUGGAUAGAAGAGUAAUCAAAAAUCACAAUAACUACAAAAGAACAUGCAAAGCAAGUGAUGUGCAAUGCAAUUGCUCACCACCCACUGAUGAAUGCCCAGCCGAUUCCCGACCAGCAGCAGACUGCCGGUCAUCUCCCCCCGGUACGUUAUUCAGUGUGAGGACAUCGAGGACGGGACAUCCCUUUGGCCAGCAUCGUCCCGCUUCCGUCCCCUCGCUGCCAAGGCUGAGGAGGAGCCCAGCUUCUACCGCUGCUCGGGGUGGAUGUGACGCAUGACGGCCGACCUACUCGAGCACCCGCUGCCCCCGUCACCCCUUCCGCAGCACAUCUUCGCUAUGAGCCGCGUCUCCACUGCGCCGGCGGAACGGGGAACCCCGCCGCGGCUCCUCCCCCGUCGCGGCAGAGCGAUCCGCACGUUCCGCAAUGCCCACCGCCGCCUGUCGCGGUCUGAUUACGUCACCGCCAGAAGUACUGCCGGGUGAUUUUCCGGUGUUGGUCGCUGCUGCUGCCUGCAAAUGAGCAAGCGGAAAGUGCUGCAGGAGAGGCUCAACCAGGGCAUCGCGGACUUCCUCAUGGCUAGGGAAUUACGAGCGCGACGUGAACCGAGCCAUCCACAAGUACGACGCGUACAGAUACCGCCUCCUUCCUCAGGGCUGCUUUUUUCUCUUCCCUGCCGGAGCGCCCCGCUCCCGUCUCUCGGGGGCCCGGCCCGGCCUCGCCGCAGGGCUGAGCGCGCUGCUCUUUUCUGGCCGCUGACUGACGCCGUUCCGCAGGAAAGCAGACUGUCGUUUCUCGGUACCCCAGCAGAAUACGGAGUGAAGUGGAAGCUAAGAAGCUGGUAGGUACCGGGGCGAAUUUGGGCUUCUUAACGUGGAGGAACUGUGUUAGGAUGGUAUCGAGGUUUCCAGGAGGAGGGAAGCAGUGUACGAAUGACUCUGCUUGCAUCAGCUUCUGCUGGCAGCCGGCUCAGGGAAGGGCGAGUGGAGCAUAUGGGCUGCAGGGAUUUCAUAGGUGGAACUGGAGACUCCAGCUGGGUCUCUUCUGUGAAAGGCUUCUACUGUGGCAGGUUUCCCCUUUGCUGUGUUACUGUCUCACUAAGUUUGGCAGUUGUAGGAAUCUACAACUGGUUUAAAAUAACUGUUUGCAGGGGACUUGAAAUACAGCACUUGAAGUACUCUGUGCUACUUGUGUUGUACCCUUCAGUGCUCCUGAUCUCUUACAGACCAAUGUUUUAAAAUGGUUUCUGUGACUUCACAGUUCUUUUUAUUGAGCUUUAUUUUUCUUAGGUAUGAUGGCUGUAAGUGACCUUGAAAUUGACUUGUAGUUAAUCCUUCCUCAAUGUUUAGGAUGGAGUAGAUGCUAAAAUAGCUGAGAAAAUAGAUGAGUUUUUAUCUACUGGACAGCUUCACAAAUUGGAAAAGAUGUGUUUCUUUCCCUUGUGCUUUGUUUCUCAGUAGUUGUUUGUACUUUGUGAAGUAGUCUGCUUGCUUUGUGCAGUUUCUGUUGCUUUCUGCGGAGAGAGUGAUGUCAAGCAGAAGAACGGUGGAGUCUGCAAAGUAAAAAGUGGGGAACAAGAAGCUUAGCCAAAGCCUCAGACGAAAAUAUUUUAGAUUGUAUAAUUGGCAUGUGAAUGUCUUCUGUGAGAAAUGGAAUUCCGACUCUGGAAGGCUGCGGAAUUGACUUUUAACCAUGCUGUUUACCUUAGCAUGGGCAGUUAAGACAGUUAAUUCACUGGAAUGGUACGUAUGGCACUGUCCUAAUGCACAAUAUUUCUGUUAGUACUGUUUUGUUCUGAUUUACAGUAGGUCUCCAAAGCAGAAUCUGACUAAGUUGUUUUAUAAGCUUUCUUUAUUUAGUGAAAUGGAGUAAAGAAGAGUUUGUUCACAUUACUAUCUUUUUGCAGAUUCGACAAGAUGAUACAAGUGCAUCCAUCAACUUCCUGACAUGAGUUACUGGUAUUGGGUAAAGCUUAGUUAUUAUUUGUUAGUGGUGGGGGGAAGUAGUUGUCAAAGUUGUAGAACUGCCAAUUACAGAUUCUGCAGUAGAGGAGUGGAAGUGGAAAGCUCCUGUGUGCAAGCAGAGAGGGGAAGGAGAGAGGGAGGUGAUCAAAAACUGAAUCAAAAGACUGAGAAAAGUAGAAUCAUGAAGGCAGAGUAGGAGCCUAUGAGAUUUACAGUGCAAAAUCUGAUUAGGGAGAGUAGUAUUUUUAUUAUGUUUGUAAAAGGAAAUCCAGAGCCCUGCCAACCCCUCAAAAACAGGUCUUUUCAGAAAGAUGAUAGCAGGAGAUCUAAUUCUCUCGAGGCCUGUUCUCGUUCCUAUUCUGUGCAUAGGGAAAUUUUGGCAAAAAAGAGCUCAGUUUACAGACAGGCACUUAACUUAGCAUGUGCAUAGCAGCAGAAGUCAAUAUCUUGAGUGAGAAGGACUGUGAUACUGCUUGCCAAGAACAGGGUUGGCUAAAUAUAGAACACUUGUGCUUAAAAUCAGAACAGAUUGGAAUGCUGUGGGGAAGAAGAGGGAAAAGCAAUUGUCACGGAGUUAUCUGAGUCUGUGACAAAGGGCAAAAAAAGCCCAGGAAAGCAAACAAAACAAAACAAAAAAACAAAAAAAAACAAGAGAGGGGAAAACUACCCUCCUCUUUUCUUUCAGCUUAGCUAGCUAGCCCCGAGGCAGACCCUGCCCUCUGGGAGAGGGGGAGAGGAGGAGAGGGGGAUGGGUAGAAAGAUAGCAGAUAGGUCUAAAAAACAAAAACAAAACAAAACAACAACAACAACAAAAAAAAACCUGGAACAAGUGGUUGCCUCCCG